GACGUAGGGCGCGAGCGUUUGUCCGGAUUUAUUGGGCGUAAAGAGCUCGUAGGCGGCUUGUCGCGUCGUCCGUGAAAACCUGGGGCUCAACCCCAGGCUUGCGGUCGAUACGGGCAGGCUCGAGUUCGGUAGGGGAGACUGGAAUUCCUGGUGUAGCGGUGAAAUGCGCAGAUAUCGGGAAGAACACCCGUGGCGAAGGCGGCUCUCUGGACGGUACUGGACGCUGAGACGCGAAAGCGUGGGGAGCGAACGAGGA
rnacentral:rRNA from 1 species